rnacentral:rRNA from 1 species
UCCUGACUGACCGAUAGUGAACCAGUACCGUGAGGGAAAGGCGAAAAGAACCCCGGCGAGGGGAGUGAAAAAGAACCUGAAACCGUGUACGUACAAGCAGUGGGAGCACGCUUAGGCGUGUGACUGCGUACCUUUUGUAUAAUGGGUCAGCGACUUAUAUUCUGUAGCAAGGUUAACCGAAUAGGGGAGCCGAAGGGAAACCGAGUCUUAACUGGGCGUUAAGUUGCAGGGUAUAGACCCGAAACCCGGUGAUCUAGCCAUGGGCAGGUUGAAGGUUGGGUAACACUAACUGGAGGACCGAACCGACUAAUGUUGAAAAAUUAGCGGAUGACUUGUGGCUGGGGGUGAAAGGCCAAUCAAACCGGGAGAUAGCUGGUUCUCCCCGAAAGCUAUUUAGGUAGCGCCUCGUGAAUUCAUCUCCGGGGGUAGAGCACUGUUUCGGCAAGGGGGUCAUCCCGACUUACCAACCCGAUGCAAACUGCGAAUACCGGAGAAUGUUAUCACGGGAGACACACGGCGGGUGCUAACGUCCGUCGUGAAGAGGGAAACAACCCAGACCGCCAGCUAAGGUCCCAAAGUCAUGGUUAAGUGGGAAACGAUGUGGGAAGGCCCAGACAGCCAGGAUGUUGGCUUAGAAGCAGCCAUCAUUUAAAGAAAGCGUAAUAGCUCACUGGUCGAGUCGGCCUGCGCGGAAGAUGUAACGGGGCUAAACCAUGCACCGAAGCUGCGGCAGCGACGCUUAUGCGUUGUUGGGUAGGGGAGCGUUCUGUAAGCCUGCGAAGGUGUGCUGUGAGGCAUGCUGGAGGUAUCAGAAGUGCGAAUGCUGACAUAAGUAACGAUAAAGCGGGUGAAAAGCCCGCUCGCCGGAAGACCAAGGGUUCCUGUCCAACGUUAAUCGGGGCAGGGUGAGUCGACCCCUAAGACGAGGCCGAAAGGCGUAGUCGAUGGGAAACAGGUUAAUAUUCCUGUACUUGGUGUUACUGCGAAGGGGGGACGGAGAAGGCUAUGUUGGCCGGGCGACGGUUGUCCCGGUUUAAGCGUGUAGGCUGGUUUUCCAGGCAAAUCCGGAAAAUCAAGGCUGAGGCGUGAUGACGAGGCACUACGGUGCUGAAGCAACAAAUGCCCUGCUUCCAGGAAAAGCCUCUAAGCAUCAGGUAACAUCAAAUCGUACCCCAAACCGACACAGGUGGUCAGGUAGAGAAUACCAAGGCGCUUGAGAGAACUCGGGUGAAGGAACUAGGCAAAAUGGUGCCGUAACUUC